CUAGUAAUCACGGAUCAGCAUGCCGCGGUGAAUACGUUCCCGGGCCUUGUACACACCGCCCGUCACACCAUGAGAGUUUGUAACACCCAAAGCCGGUGGGGUAACCUUUUGGAGCCAGCCGUCUAAGGUGGGACAGAUGAUUGGGGUGAAGUCGUAACAAGGUACC
rnacentral:rRNA from 1 species